CGGCUGUAACUCAGAUGGCAGAGUACCGUCCUUUUAAGACGGGAGUUCCGGGUUCGAAUCCCGGAAGGCCGACAA
rnacentral:tRNA from 1 species